rnacentral:lncRNA from 1 species
GGGUGUAGGAUAAGGAACGGAUCGCUGGUGUUGUAAGUUAGAGGAAGGCAUGGGGUUGUCCGGUUGAAAAGGGGGUGAUGGGAUAUGGAAUUGAGGGUGGUAAAGAGGGUUGGUUUGAGGAGAGUAUGAGUAAAGCGCGCCGCUGACGGUGGGUGGAGGAUACGAGGCGGCUGAGGACGGUGGAGGAUAAGGGAUGUUAGGGUUUUGGAAGGUGGUAUUAGGGUUUGUUGUGAUUGGUGGUGGGGAAGAAGAAGGGUUGAAGAAUCUUUGAACAUCGAAUGGUCCUCCGCCUGGUUGUUGGUUCUGGUUUCCAGGGGAAGCCAU